rnacentral:tRNA from 2 species
GACUUAAAAUCCGUCGAUUUCAAAAAUCGUGAGG